rnacentral:rRNA from 1 species
CCCUUAGAUGUCCGGGGCUGCACGCGCGCUACACUGAAGGACUCAGCGUGCUAAAACCAUUGUCGAAAGGCAUUGGUAAACCCAUUAAAAUCCUACGUGAUUGGGAUCGGGAAUUGCAAUUAUUUCCCUUGAACGAGGAAUUCCCAGUAAGUGUGGGUCAUAAGCUCGCGUUGAUUACGUCCCUGCCCUUUGUACACACCGCCCGUCGCUGCCCGGGACUGAGCCGUUUCGAGAAAAGCGGGGACUGCUGCUGUCGGGGCUUUCGGGCCUUGGCUUCGGUGGAAACCGCUUUAAUCGCAGUGGCUUGAACCGGGCAAAAGUCGUAACA